AGCAAAAAGAAGCCAGGGACAGUGCUCAGGCCCUGACAGAGGCCAGCCAGCCCAGGCUACAAACCAAACAAGACCCCAUUUCAAACAAAACCAAGACUCAGACCUCCAUAAUCUUCCCAAAUACCACAUUUUCCUAGAUCUCUCAAGUAAUGAAUGUCAUCAUGGA